UCUUCAAUUGAAUCUUCUCUCCAAAACUUUGCUUUUAUCUCUUUAAGACUCCAUUCGACUUCACGAAAUUCGCCAACUUAGAAAAUCCUUAACAGCCAGAUAUAUAGGCAGCUGAGUAUUCUAUACCUACAGUGAAAUUCAAUUUUCUCGGGAGAUUUGUUAGAUUUAGGUUUUGUAAUUAAGGUGGUAGCAGAUUUAGAAGAAUCGGAUGGAGGAGUUACAAGAGAAGGACCAGUAGAAAUUUUAGAAGUAGGAUAAGAAGGUGUUUUUCUAAUUGCAGUUAUGAGGCCUAAGGUGAUAAGCCAAGCCUCUAACUAUUCUUGCCACAUCAGAAAAUCUACCCCUUUAAAUUUUUCUAGUUUAAGGCUAGAGGUGUCAGCAAAAGUCAUUCUAAACAAUCUAGUUGAGGGAAUAAAGAAAUUAAGGAUGAUUGUAAUGAGCUGCAAAAAAGGUUCAAAAUACCUUUUUAGAAAAACAAAUAUGGUUGUUAAAGUUUCUACCAUGGUCAACCAGAAUAUUUUAGGAUUUCAAUUUUUAAAAUUAGUAUAUUAUUACAGUUCAUUAGGCAGCAAACAGAUGGCCUAAACAAUUUAAAAAAUUUGAUUUCAAUUAGUUAAUUUCGAGCAAAUAAUAUAUGUAAGGAGACAAUAUCUAUGCAGCAAACAGAAUUUAAAAGAUGCUGAAAUAAUAAGUAAAGUGGAAUUUAGAAGUAGUGCUGUUGGUUAGAUCUUCUUUGUUAAAGAUG
rnacentral:lncRNA from 1 species